GAUGAACGCUGGCGGCGUGCCUAAUACAUGCAAGUCGAGCGAACGGACGAGAAGCUUGCUUUUCUGAUGUUAGCGGCGGACGGGUGAGUAACAUGUGGAUAACCUACCUAUAAGACUGGGAUAACUUCGGGAAACCGGAGCUAAUACCGGAUAAUAUUUUGAACCGCAUGGUUCAAAAGUGAAAGACGGUCUUGCUGUCACUUAUAGAUGGAUCCGCGCUGCAUUAGCUAGUUGGUAAGGUAACGGCUUACCAAGGCAACGAUGCAUAGCCGACCUGAGAGGGUGAUCGGCCACACUGGAACUGAGACACGGUCCAGACUCCUACGGGAGGCAGCAGUAGGGAAUCUUCCGCAAUGGGCGAAAGCCUGACGGAGCAACGCCGCGUGAGUGAUGAAGGUCUUCGGAUCGUAAAACUCUGUUAUUAGGGAAGAACAUAUGUGUAAGUAACUGUGCACAUCUUGACGGUACCUAAUCAGAAAGCCACGGCUAACUACGUG
rnacentral:rRNA from 1 species